CGCCCAAUUUUUAAGUUAUACUUCAUUGCCUUUUCGCACGAUCCCGCGAGCAAGCUCACUGAAACCUGAAGAACGGAAGUUGGUAAUCUUUGAACCCCCAUCAAUUGGAAUCCAUAGCUAAAAGACUAUUCGGAAAUUACUCUCCGCUAUAUUUUCUGCGAUUUGCGUUUCUUAAGCAUUUGAUUUAUCGAUUGCUACAUCAUUUCACAAAUCUUAUGCCACCGGCAAAGUUUACUUAUGGAGGGCAUCAUGGCUCGUUUUUGGACAUCAAUUCUAUACUAUCUAGAUUGAGGCCAAUUACAUUUGAA